CUACGGAGGGGACUAGCGUUGUUCGGAAUUACUGGGCGUAAAGCGUACGUAGGCGGAUCAGAAAGUAUGGGGUGAAAUCCCAGGGCUCAACCCUGGAACUGCCUCAUAAACUCCUGGUCUUGAGUUCGAGAGAGGUGAGUGGAAUUCCGAGUGUAGAGGUGAAAUUCGUAGAUAUUCGGAGGAACACCAGUGGCGAAGGCGGCUCACUGGCUCGAUACUGACGCUGAGGUACGAAAGCGUGGGGAGCAAACAGGAUUAGAAACCCUAGUAGUCC
rnacentral:rRNA from 1 species